UACGGGGGGGGCAAGCGUUGUUCGGAAUUACUGGGCGUAAAGGGCUCGUAGGCGGCCAACUAAGUCAUACGUGAAAUCCCUCGGCUUAACCGGGGAACUGCGUCUGAUACUGGAUGGCUUGAGUUCGGGAGAGGGAUGCGGAAUUCCAGGUGUAGCGGUGAAAUGCGUAGAUAUCUGGAGGAACACCAGAGGCGAAGGCGGCGACCUGGACAGGCACUGACACUCAACUACGAAAGCGUGGGGAGCAAACAGG
rnacentral:rRNA from 1 species